UCAUCCGUGAUCUGGCUGUGCAUGUGUGACCCAUCCACUGUCAGGGCCAAGCUGGCUGGUCUGAAAGGCUCAGCUGGUGUCCCCUUCGUCGGGUCCUCGUUGAGCCUGGGCAGCCCUCCAGAAGCUGCUUGCUUGGUCAGAGAUGAUGCCCUUCCCAGAGAGGAGCUGUUCUUUGGUCAAGAGUAUUCAGACACUAUAUCCUGGUGACACGAGGAAACACAGUUUUGAGCUCCUCAAAAGGAGCCUUUCGUACUUU
rnacentral:sRNA from 1 species